AGAACGAACGCUGGCGGCAUGCCUAAUACAUGCAAGUCGAACGAGACCUUCGGGUCUAGUGGCGCACGGGUGCGUAACGCGUGGGAAUCUACCCUUGGGUUCGGAAUAACAGUUGGAAACGACUGCUAAUACCGGAUGAUGACGAAAGUCCAAAGAUUUAUCGCCCAGGGAUGAGCCCGCGUAGGAUUAGCUAGUUGGUGAGGUAAAGGCUUACCAAGGCUACGAUCCUUAGCUGGUCUGAGAGGAUGAUCAGCCACACUGGGACUGAGACACGGCCCAGACUCCUACGGGAGGCAGCAGUAGGGAAUAUUGGACAAUGGGGGCAACCCUGAAUCCAGCAAUGCGCGUGAGUGAUGAAGGCCUUAGGGUGUAAAGCUCUUUUACCCGAGAUGAUAAUGACAGUAUCGGAGAAUAAGCUCCGGCUAACUCCGUGCCAGCAGCCGC
rnacentral:rRNA from 1 species